UGUUUUUGGGGAAUACCCAAAAGGGAUUCCUUCAGUAAUGGCGAAUGAACGGGGAAAAGCUCAGCAAAGAAAUCAGGGACCCCGGCCUUGAGUUGUGGACUUGAGAGGUAUUGCCAAUGGUGGCGCAGGUGCGGGCCUCUUGGAAAAGGGCACCACAGAGGGUGUGAGUCCUGUUUGUCAUCUGUAGUCCGCCAUGUACGGCAUGACUCCUCAGAGUCACGUUCCUUGGAAUUGGAGCGCGAAGGUGGUGGUGGCUUUCAUCUCAAGCUAAGUAUGGGUUCGAGACCGAUAGCAAACAAGUACCAUGAGGGAAGAUUGAAAAGAGCUUUGGAAAGAGAGUUAAAAGUGCCCGAACUUGCUGAUAGGGAAGCGAAGGGAGCUGACGUUGCUUGGUGACAUAUUCCGCGCAAGAGUAGGAUGGGUUCUGGUUGCAAUCUGCGUACUGCUUCUUGCCGUGCGUGUCGAUGCCAAGCAAUGAGUGGGGAGAGCACCAGGGAUAAUGAUUGUUUCUGUCCCCGGGUGGCCGAAGGUGCCUGGUCGCAUCCAUUUGUGGUCUGAAACAAAUGGUGGCUGGUUGCAGAGCCCUGUGCCUGCUACGCAGUGGGUUGUACCCUGAUACUCAGACAGGACAAGUG
rnacentral:rRNA from 1 species